rnacentral:rRNA from 1 species
CUCGGGAUGAACGCUAGCUACAGGCUUAACACAUGCAAGUCGAGGGGAAACGAUAGAGAAAGCUUGCUUUUUCUAGGCGUCGACCGGCGCACGGGUGAGUAACGCGUAUCCAACCUGCCCAUCACUUGGGGAUAACCUUGCGAAAGUAAGACUAAUACCCAAUGACGUCUCUAGAAGACAUCUGAAGGAGAUUAAAGAUUUAUCGGUGAUGGAUGGGGAUGCGUCUGAUUAGCUUGUUGGCGGGGUAACGGCCCACCAAGGCGACGAUCAGUAGGGGUUCUGAGAGGAAGGUCCCCCACAUUGGAACUGAGACACGGUCCAAACUCCUACGGGAGGCAGCAGUGAGGAAUAUUGGUCAAUGGGCGAGAGCCUGAACCAGCCAAGUAGCGUGCAGGAUGACGGCCCUAUGGGUUGUAAACUGCUUUUAUAAGGGAAUAAAGUGAGAGUCGUGACUCUUUUUGCAUGUACCUUAUGAAUAAGGACCGGCUAAUUCCGUGCCAGCAGCCGCGGUAAUACGGAAGGUCCGGGCGUUAUCCGGAUUUAUUGGGUUUAAAGGGAGCGUAGGCCGGAGAUUAAGCGUGUUGUGAAAUGUAGACGCUCAACGUCUGCACUGCAGCGCGAACUGGUUUCCUUGAGUACGCACAAAGUGGGCGGAAUUCGUGGUGUAGCGGUGAAAUGCUUAGAUAUCACGAAGAACUCCGAUUGCGAAGGCAGCUCACUGGAGCGCAACUGACGCUGAAGCUCGAAAGUGCGGGUAUCGAACAGGAUUAGAUACCCUGGUAGUCCGCACGGUAAACGAUGGAUGCCCGCUGUUGGUCUGAAUAGGUCUGCGGCCAAGCGAAAGCAUUAAGCAUCCCACCUGGGGAGUACGCCGGCAACGGUGAAACUCAAA